UACGUAGGGCGCAAGCGUUGUCCGGAAUUAUUGGGCGUAAAGAGCUCGUAGGCGGCUUGUCACGUCGGGUGUGAAAGCCCGGGGCUUAACCCCGGGUCUGCAUUCGAUACGGGCUAGCUAGAGUGUGGUAGGGGAGAUCGGAAUUCCUGGUGUAGCGGUGAAAUGCGCAGAUAUCAGGAGGAACACCGGUGGCGAAGGCGGGUCUCUGGGCAAUUCCUGACGCUGAGGCGCGAAAGCGUGGGGAGCAAACGGG
rnacentral:rRNA from 1 species